GUACGGAAAUAACUUAUGAUGUACAUGUCAGUCUGAGAGGUUAAAUUUUAUCUUGACAUUUUUUUCACGAUUCAUUGCUCAGUGUUAUUUUUUUGUGUUUUGGUCUGUUUUUCUUAACCUAUUAGCAAUUGGUCAUUAUAUUUGUUGUAUUGAAGGAAUGUAAGCUGUACAUGGCUGCCUUGCAAGGUUCAUUUGACCUUGAUCUCAUUUUCAUGGUUCAUUUUUCAAUGUUUAUUUUGUUGGUUAGGAAUGUUUUUUAGAAGCUAUAAGCAAUAGGUCAAUUAUAUUUAGUGUAUUGAAUGAUUGUAAGGUGUACAUGUAUUUCUGGUUUGGUUUAUAUGACGUUGACCUCGUUUUCUUGGAUCAUGUUAAUUUCAUUUAGAUUAUUUACCAGGUUUGUAAUACCAUGAACAACACGACAGGUGCUACGUGUGGGGCAGGAUCUGCUUGCCCUUCCGGAACAACUGAGAUAAAUCCCAGAUUUUGGUGGGGUUCGUGUUGCUUAUUCUUUAGUUUUCUAUGUUGUGUUUUGUGAAUUAUUAUUAAUCUGUUUGUCUUUUUCUUCUUUUUAACAAUGACGUCGUCAGUUUAAUUUCGCUCUAUGAGUUAGGCUGUCCCUCGGGUAUCGUUUCGAACCUCUUUUUCAAGAAAACAUAUAAAUAUAAAUGACGAAAGGCUAAAAUUGUUUAUGUAAUG
rnacentral:lncRNA from 1 species